rnacentral:rRNA from 1 species
CAGUCGCCACGGGAAUACGUAGGUGGCAAGCGUUGUCCGGAAUUAUUGGGCGUAAAGGGCUCGCAGGCGGUUUCUUAAGUCUGAUGUGAAAGCCCCCGGCUCAACCGGGGAGGGUCAUUGGAAACUGGGAAACUUGAGUGCAGAAGAGGAGAGUGGAAUUCCACGUGUAGCGGUGAAAUGCGUAAAGAUGUGGAGGAACACCAGUGGCGAAGGCGACUCUCUGGUCUGUAACUGACGCUGAGGAGCGAAAGCGUGGGGAGCGAACAGGAUUAGAUACCCCAGUAGUCCCUGUCUCUUAUAC